UCUACGGGAGGCAGCAGUGGGGAAUAUUGGACAAUGGGCGCAAGCCUGAUCCAGCCAUGCCGCGUGAGUGAUGAAGGCCCUAGGGUUGUAAAGCUCUUUCACCGGUGAAGAUAAUGACGGUAACCGGAGAAGAAGCCCCGGCUAACUUCGUGCCAGCAGCCGCGGUAAUA
rnacentral:rRNA from 1 species